CCGGGAACUCAAAGGAGACUGCCAGUGAUAAACUGGAGGAAGGUGGGGAUGACGUCAAGUCAUCAUGGCCCUUACGACCAGGGCUACACACGUGCUACAAUGGCGCAUACAAAGAGAAGCGACCUCGCGAGAGCAAGCGGACCUCAUAAAGUGCGUCGUAGUCCGGAUUGGAGUCUGCAACUCGACUCCAUGAAGUCGGAAUCGCUAGUAAUCGUGGAUCAGAAUGCCACGGUGAAUACGUUCCCGGGCCUUGUACACACCGCCCGUCACACCAUGGGAGUGGGUUGCAAAAGAAGUAGGUAGCUUAACCUUCGGGAGGGCGCUUACCACUUUGUGAUUCAUGACUGGGGUGAAGUCGUAACAAGGUAACCGUAGGGGAACCUGC
rnacentral:rRNA from 4 species